CAGCGCGGCUUCCGUGGACCGUUCCCCUCAGUGACGAGAGAACAUGGCGGCCCCCCGUCCGGACAUCUCAGAAGUUCUGUCUGCCCACAGGCAAGUCUUCUUGCAGAUUUGUACACUCGCCAUGUCCUGCAGGACCUGUGGUGGAAAAGUCCAGUACUGGUCAGCCUCUGGGCCUGUGAAGAGAAGAGAGUGGACCUGGGACCAGCUGUCCUGAGCACCUAGACAAAGUAGCAGACAGCAGCAAGAUGGGCUGGAUUGUCGUGUUGAACGUGAACGUCGCGAAGGCAGAGGUGGUCCUGCUUGGGGGCCUGUUUUCCUAUUGUGACCCAAUGGAUGUGGAGGGCCAGCGCAUUACCUCUGGAGUUACUCCAGCAUCUCCGUGGAAACCACAGAACUAAAGACAGCCCAGGACCCCAGGCUUUUCCUUGCUCUGAGCAACGUUCUGCGCUGGUCAACUUGGACCCCUUCCGUGGAGGCUGACGUGGCUGCGCACCCGCACCUGUGAGGACUUUGUAGGGUGUGAACCUGUGCAGGCCAGAGGGUGCCUGUUCCCUGGCAGUGCCAGAAAGGUCUCUACUCUUUCCUUUUCUGUAUAAAUGACUUUUUUCUGUGUGGUGAUUCAUUUAGCAACAUUCAGGUGAAGGAUCUUCCUGGAGCAGGGAUCGAAGGCGUUGUCCCCUGCACUGGCAGGCGGAUUCUCAACCACUGUGCCACCUAGGAAGCCUCCAAAAGGAGGUUUUUCUAAUUGGUGGCAGCCUCAAGAUUUUGGACUCUUGAGCAGUGAGAAGGGGACACUGCUCAGUAUGUCGGAUGGGACCUGGCUCUCUGUGCUUCCCCAGGUGUGCAUUCCUAGGCCUGCCUUGUCACUUAGCCUCCUGAGGCAUGUAUCUGAUGCAUGUGUUCUCUCUGGUGGGAAUGAUAAUGUGCUGUAAGUUCUUGGUAUGACGUUUUCCGUAUCGACCUCGUGUUUGCCCCUUGUGUACGUGGGUGACAGGAAGAGAAUGGAUCAUAUUGAGCACUCUAGGGCAAGGCCUUUGAAACAGAGUGUCUUCCUUUUUAUCCUGGUUCCCUGUAAUAUGCAGGCGGUAGCCUCACGGGGCAGCAGCAGUCAUUUGAGAGGCAUGUUAGCCUCCUGGAAAUGUUGAUGGUGGUGGGGGCCAUGGUGGUGGUUGAGGUAGUGGUGAUGCUAAGAAGAAAAUAGCCACAGCUACCACGGAUCCAAAACUGAAUGGAACUAAGAACUGUCCUCCGUUCUUUUCACUGGUGUAUUACCGCAUGGUCUCAAACCGUGUGAUUUGAGUACAACAUAUAAUGUAAAUAGAUAACUCUCUAUUUGGCAGAGGACCUUCAUGAUGUACAGAAUGGCUCAUUACUUUGCUAUGGUAACAGAGGCGAGUCAAACUGUAUAGGGGGCAUUAGAGCUGGCUUAGCUGGCCCCAUAUCUUGUGAUGUUCAUCACUAAGCUGCAAGAAGCGUUCUUAAGUAACAUUUUCUUGCUUGAGAAAUCAGUGGUUUUCCACCCCUCCAUCUCCGUUGCAUUUCUAGUCCAUAUGGUUACCCAGAGGCCGCACAGUGUGCCUUUGCAUUAGUAGAAAUAAGUGGUAAUGAAAAUGGUCUCCCAAUGUGGGAGAACACAUAUUGAAUGCAACGGAUUUCCUGGCUGACUGGCCAGCCAGUUUGAUUGUCUGUUCUUUUGGAGAGAGACUUGCAGAGGUUACAGGGUCAGGUGAGGGGAGGAGCUCUUCUGAUCAGGAAAGAUGGAAUGGCAUAUAGGAUAUGGUCCCUCCUUCAGAGGCCUGCCGUCUGCAGGUAGGGAGAGGACAGGGAAGAGCAGCACAGGAUGUAGCUGCUCAUAGAGAUGGAGGACAAGGGACUGCAGUGUGAACGGUAUGAGAAGCUUCGCGUUUUCAAGGAAGUGUUUCCUUCCCUUCUACAUUCCUGGUGCUGCUUGGGCUCUGCCUAGCAUGGGCACCGAAGAUAGUACACACUGUUGUGUGUGAUGUAAGAAUAAAUUUCCUUUUGGCAAAGGUGAGACUUUUUUUGAUGGGGGCUGUUUCCUAGUUUCCAGCCUUCAUGGGAAUGUUCCACUUCACUUUAGGAAAUGCUUGUAUUCCUGCUUUAUUCUCUGUGCUGCCUCUAGCUGUGAAAAGUAGCCCCGGAAAUGUGCCCUUUCCCCCUCCUCUGCUGUGGCCUGGUUCAGUAAUCUGAGGGAGUCUCCCGGGAGGCACCUGCUGAUGUUGAAUUCUUCUGGUGAAUAAUCGCACUACUUGAGUUUGCCACUCUGCUUUUCCUGCUGAGAGUGAGCUGUGUUCCACAGAGAGGCUAGUGAACGUGAGCUUCUGUUGCUGGUAGGUGUUUCUGAUGUCCCAGCCAGACUCUUCUUCCUUCCACACUCCCCCGGCUCAGAUGCCUCGCCAACUCCUAAAGAAAGUGUGUACUGGCAAUGGCGGCAUCCGGGGCGUGGGAAAUGUUGGGUCCUGGGUGGAUGUUGGCCGUGGCCUGUUGUCAGGCUUCUGUGCCCCUCUGCAGAGCAAGGGCGUGUUGGGAACCCAGGCGAAUCCUGACUCUCUGUGAGGGAACGUGAUUGGGUUUUAUGCCAGCCUGGCCACAUUGACUUCCAGCAAACUUCUUCUGAGCACACUCUGCACGAUGCUUGGAAGAAAGAGGUCACGUGGGUCCUGUCAAUGAUCCCUAUGUGAAGCCGGGGCCAUUUGGAUCCUCCGGGGCAGGUGCAGAUGAGCCUGCGUGUCCAGGAACCUGCUGGGUGAGGUGUCCAGGCUGGAGGAUGAAGCCCUCCUCUUCCCCUUGGUGAAGAGGGCCUACAGCCCCAGGCGGUAGCUGUCCCUUCCCCUGUCUGUCUGCUGGAAAGCGUUGCUGCUUGGUGGUCUGGCCUCUCACCAUUUUUGUCUUCCUCUAUUGGGAGGCGGGUGACAUUGUCUCAAGGGCACCUUGUCUACGAGCCCUCUCAAGGAAGAGGGUGUUUUCCACACGGCAGUGUGUGGGGGGAUUAUGCAUCGUGUGUGGUGAUGGCCUACUGGAGGGGGAGAGGAUAGGGGUGUUGAGUUUGGGAGAAGGGGGGUGCUGUGGUUUCCCCAUUUCAGGCUUUUCUUUCUCUUCAGUAGCGAAGUCUCUUCCCAGAGGGGAUACGAGGAGGCUCUGAGAGUAUAAGGAAACAUUGAGUGGGGAGGACCAGGGGCUUUGGUGUGAGAAUUGUGGUGGACGUGGUGGGUUCAGGGGAUGGCUCCCGUCCCCUUGCCCCAUUCCCUCACACUACCUUUGGGUGGCCAUGGCUGUGUCAUAGGAGAUAGCAAAGCACAGGAUGCAUGUGAAGUGAGAAAUGUCUCACCUUGUGAAGCUGCGACCUUAAUAUUGGGAGCAGGUCCUCAGCUUUCAUUUUCCAGUGAACUGUGGGCCUCUCUGCCCGGAGGAAGUAUUGGUGUCUCUGCCGAUUCCUGUGCACUGCAGGUGCUUAUGUUGAUGUUUUUUUCCCCCGAGGUGUCUUCCUCUUUCCUGUAGUGUUGUGGGCUCUUGGGCACUGCUUAUGGGGUUCAUUUUAUGAUCUAGCAGAGUAUAGCUGAGUUUCUGUUCUCUGCUACCUAAAUUGUUCCCUCUUUAACUAGUUCUCACCCAUGACAAGGAUAUUUGCUGCCAGGUCCUUGAGGGAACAUUCCUGGGUUUUCACAUUGGCAAGAAGCAUUUUUAGUUUCUAAAAAAGAUGUUCCUCUUUCCUGUAGCUUUAUGGGCUCUUGGGCACUGCUUAUGGUGUUCAUUUCGUGUUCUUCAGGAGGGUCUAGCUGAGUUUCUGGUCUCAGCUGCCUAAGUUGUUCCCUCUUUAGCUAGUUCUCACCCAUGACAAGGAUGAUUGCUACCAAGUCCUUGAAGGAACAUUCCUGGGUUUUCACAUUGACAAGAGGCUUACUGAGCUUUUAAAAAGAUUUGCAUACAUUGCAAAGAGGCAGAGAAAGAACUGACACAUUUUCCAGAGUAAAUCCUCUAAGAAAAGGGAGGGAUGGAAGCCUGCUGUCUGUUUUGAACAGCGACAAUUAAAGCAUUCUCUUUUUUUUAAGAUGCUUUUUAUGGGAAGCAUUUUUAAAGUUCUUAUUGAAUUUGCAAUCAUGUUGCUUCUGUUUAAGUUUUGGUUUUUUGGCCAGGAAGCAUGUGGGAUCUUAGCUCCCCGACCAGGGAUGGGACACGAGCCUUCUUCAUUGGAAGACAACGUCUUAACCCCUGGAUCGCCAGGGAAGUCCCAAAUCUUUGUUUCUGAGUUGUCGUACUUUGUAUUUGUCCUCCAAAUGCUACCAUGAGAUACCAGGUCCCCCCAGGUGUCUGCCCCCCACAAAUGGUGGUUCCUGAGUCCUGGCCAAAGGCAGGCCUGUGCAGGGAACUUCCUUAAGUGGAACUUGUGCCAAUGGUACCUCAAGGAAAAGGAAUAAGUAGGGGUCAUUGUUCACCCUUCGUCUUCCAUAUGCUUUUACCAAUACCUGUACUCUUAUGGCAAGUUCUCUGUGGUCAAUUGGAGUAAGCAAUGCAACCUCAGGCCUUGUGUACAUAUGAUUUCAUUUGCUAACGUCUUGGCAAGUGGAGAUGUACUGUACUCUCAUGUCUUCCCUUUCCUGAGUGUCUUGGAGGAACAAACCCAGUUGGCAAAGGAAUCUG